UGGUAGAUGUUCUACAACCAGAGGACUGUGUUCGUUUCUAUAUUUGUGACAGCCACAGACCAGUAGACGUACACAAUGUGUUCAAUGCAGUUCAAGUCAAGCUUCUCAUGAAGGAGGAUGAUUUUGAUGACAACCCAAUUCCAGAAUAUGACACAGUCUUCAGGGAAGAACAGUCAGAUGAUGACUCUGGCAAUGACAGCGACGACUCAGAGAGGUCAGGAAAAAGACGAAGAUUUGACGACGCUUCCAUUGAGAAACGCAGAGAAAGGCGACUGUGG